rfam:Cathartes aura contig113749, whole genome shotgun sequence.
AUACAAGCUUUUCUAAAAGCUACUAAUUUUUUGUUUUACUGUUAUU